AGCUAGCCUUUAGAUUUGUCUGUUAACAGUAGAAAUGCUAUAAUAAAUCGGUAACAUAUGUUGCCAGGCAGGGAAAAGUGGUAGACAAGAGCCUGGGAGACCAAGCCAAAUUGCUUUCUUACCCAAAUUAUCUCCGUGAUUGCCUGCCCUGAGGCUUUGGGCCAAUGCAAACUACAGAAUGGCAAGUCUUACAAUCUCGUCUCCUUGUCUGGCAUCCAUCCUCCUUCCAGAAUGAACAGAGGUAUAUCCAUAAACACUGGACCUCGAUUUCACAGCCUCAUCCAAAGCCAGGCAAUUCUUGAGGCAAACAAACAAAGGGGUGUGAGUGAUUUCAUUUAUUUUGAUAAUCCUCUGUCUGCACAGGGGCACUUUGCUGUCUUUGUCAAAGUGAAUGACAACAAUUUGGCCAACUCUCUCUGAGCUGCACUCAACAGUGACAGGCAAAUUAUCAGAGGCCCUGCACUUCUUAUUAUCAGAGGAGAAGCCAUCAGGGGGACGCAGGGAGGAUGCCUCUCCCUUGUCACUAUUUGUCAGUGGGACAAGGGCCA
rnacentral:lncRNA from 1 species